GGAGCGAGGCGGUGCGCAUCAUCGCUGCUUAUUUUCCUCUUUUGGGAUCCCUCCAUCCUGCUGUGGAAAAGAAGAGUGCCCACCGUACAGCUCAUUUGCCUUCUCUCAUAUGAGCAUUUCUUUUUUUCUUCUUCCCAAUUUGGGAAAAUGGUCCUCGUUCCAGCAUCGGACUAAAAGUAUUUGCUGUGGAAGUGACUAGGGAACCAACGGGGGGGGGGGAAUACAAAUGCUGGAAGUUUUGGUUCUCGGAUCGCUCCAUUGAGUUUGGGAUUUUUCCGUGCGUUUGCAGAGGAGGGUGAAGCUGAAGCAUUCAAGGAAGGCUUGGAAAUUUGUUCCCUCCUCCCUCCGCUGCAGCUCGCCGUCUGCGGCUUUCGCAGCUCUCCUCUUGGCCACGCUAUGAUUUAACACCGGGGAGGACCACCACUUAUCCCCCCCACUCCUCUUCCUUCACCUCCUCUUCUUCUUGCAUCCUGGUGAAGAGUCAGCAGCUCCUUACAGAUGGACUAAAAAAAAAAAAAAAAAGACAGGAGAGACGUCUUUUUCUUGGAUUUGCUCUGCUUUUGAAUAAGGAGGAGACUAUCUAUUCAUCUUGUCUAUCCAUCGAUCUGUUUGGACACCAUGAGAGUUCUUUGGGCGAUGUUGCUCAUGGCUGUCAUUUGGAGCCACGAGUGGAAAUGUGCGCUCUCGGACUCCAUCAUCCACAUUGGCGCCAUUUUCGACAAGUCGGCGCGGAAGGAUGACGAGGUGUUUCGCCUUGCCGUGGCGGACCUCAACCUGAACAAUGAGAUCUUGGAGACAGAGAAGAUCACCAUCUCUGUGGAAUUCGUGGACGGGAACAACCCAUUCCAGGCUGUGCAAGAAGCGUGCGAGCUGAUGAACCGCGGCAUCUUGGCCCUGGUCAGCUCCAUCGGCUGCAUGUCGGCAGGCAGCCUGCAGACGCUGGCCGACGCCAUGCACAUCCCGCACCUCUUCAUUCAGCGCUCCACGGGGGGCACGCCCCGCUCCGACUGCCCGCCCACCAGCCGCAGCCCUGGAGCCGACGACUACACCCUGAUGGUGCGCCCGCCCAUCUAUCUCAACGAGGUCAUCAUGCAAGUGGUGUCCGAGUAUAGCUGGCAGAAGUUUGUCCUCUUCUACGACUCCGACUACGAUAUCCGGGGUAUCGAGGACUUCCUUGAUCGCGCCUCCCAUCAGGGCAUGGACGUGUCACUCCAAAAGGUGGAGUCCAACGUCAACAUGAUGAUCACCAGCCUGUUCAGGACCAUGCGGGUAGAAGAGCUACAUCGCUACAGGGACACGUUACGCAGAGCCGUGCUGUUCAUGAGCCCAGCCACCGCCAAGGCAUUUAUCUCUGAGGUGGUCGAGACCAACUUGGUGGCCUUUGAUUGUCACUGGAUCCUCAUCAACGAGGAGAUCUCCGACUACGACCUGCAAGAGUUGGUAAUGAAGUCGGUGGGUCGGCUGACGUUGGUGCGCCAGACAUUCCCCAUGCCACAGAACACAACCCAGCGUUGCGUUAAGCACAACCACCGGAUCAACACGUCCCUCUGUGACCCCAAGAACGCCAAGGCUCAGCAGCUGGAGAUCACUAACCGCUACAUCUAUGACACGGUGCUGCUGCUAGCUAACACCUUCCACAGAAAGCUGGAGGACAGGAAGUGGCACAGUAUGGCCAGUCUGAGCUGCAUCCGGAAGAACUCCAAACCCUGGCAAGGGGGGAAAAGCAUGCUGGACACUGUCAAAAAGUUCGGCGUGAGUGGCCUCACCAGCUUCCUGGAGUUCACCGACAACGGCACCAACCCAAACAUCUUCUUCGAAAUCCUGGGCACAAACUACGGAGAGGACCGCGGGCGAGGAGUCAGCAGGCUGGCCACAUGGGAUCCAGUUCAUGGCCUGAAUGGGACCUUGACGGACAGGAAGUUGGAGAACAACAUGCGAGGAGUGGUGCUGAGAGUCGUUACUGUCUUGGAGGAGCCGUUUGUGAUGGUGUCAGAGAACGUUCUAGGCAAACCCAAGAAAUACCAGGGCUUCUCCAUCGACGUCCUGGAUGCUCUGUCCAACUACUUGGGCUUCAAGUACGAGAUCUAUAUCGCACCGGACCACAAGUAUGGCAGCUUGCAGCCUGACGGCCAGUGGAAUGGUCUCAUGGGGGAGCUUGUUUUUAAGCGAGCUGAUGUCGGACUCUCCGCCCUGACUAUCACGCCUGAGCGCGAGAGCGUCGUGGACUUCACCACGCGCUACAUGGACUACUCCGUGGGUGUGUUGCUGCGCAAGGCCGAGCGCACAGUGGACAUAUUCGCCUGCCUGGCCCCCUUCGACCUGUCACUGUGGGCGUGCAUUGCGGGCACAGUGCUGCUGGUUGGCAUCCUGGUCUAUUUACUCAACUGGCUCAACCCACCUCGACUGCCUAUGGGCUCCGUGUCCUCCACGACACUCUACAACUCCAUGUGGUUCGUGUACGGGUCCUUCGUGCAGCAAGGUGGCGAGGUCCCCUACACCACCCUGGCGACAAGGAUGAUGAUGGGCGUUUGGUGGAUGUUCGCUCUCAUCGUCAUCUCCUCGUACACGGCCAAUUUAGCGGCGUUCCUCACCAUCACGCGCAUCGAGAACUCUAUACAAUCCCUCCAGGACUUGUCCAAGCAGACGGAGCUUCCCUAUGGCACGGUGCUGGACUCUGCGGUGUACGACCAGGUACGCUCCAAGGCCAUGAACCCCUUCGAGAGAGACCCCAUGUACUCGCAGAUGUGGCGGAUGAUCAACCGCACGGGAGGAGCCGACAACAACGUGGAGGAGUCCAAGGAAGGCAUCCGAAAGGUGAAGUACGGCCGCUUCGGCUUCGUGUGGGAUUCGGCGGUGCUGGAGUAUGUCGCCAACAAUGACGAGGAUUGCUCCUUCUACACGGUGGGCAGCAAUGCGCCGGAUCGCGGCUACGGCAUCGCCAUGCAGCACGGCAGUCCCUACCGCGACAUUUUCUCCCAGAGAAUCUUGGAGCUUCAGCAGAAUGGCGACAUGGAUAUUCUCAAGCUCAAGUGGUGGCCAAAGGACAGCCCCUGUGAACUCUACAGCUCGAUGCAAUCAGGGCACAGCAACGCCCUGGACAUCCAUAGCUUCGCCGGCGUCUUCUGCGUCCUGGCAGCCGGCGUGGUGCUUUCCUGUCUCAUAGCCAUGGUGGAAAGCUGGUGGUCACGGAGGAAGGGAUCCAGGGUCCCCUCCAAGGAGAAGCAGGCAGACGGCCCAUCUGCCAGGCAAACUGCCGAUCCCUGCCCUCACAGCCCCAACGAGCGCCCUGCGGCCCUGGCCGCUCAGAUCCAGAACCAGACCUCUAACACCUCCAACGCCGCUGCCCCCGCUCCCACCCGUUACCAGCCCCCAGCAUGCUGCGACAUUCCCUGCGCCCUGAUCGUGCAACACUCCUACGAACCGAACAACCCCUCCGAGCUCGCCCCCAAAAUGCGAAUGACCACCUUCACCACCUCACCCCCCACCCCGAGGUUAUACAUACAGUAGAACAUUUAAGUAAGACCGCACUUGAUAAUGCUUAAAGACUGAAUGACUAAAUGGCAGUAUGGAAUCAGUUGAAAGCAAACGAGCACUUAAUGUUGUCAAAACAUGCAUUUUCCUCACUGUGUGUGUAACGAGGCCUUUUUGCCUGUAGAGGAGGCUGUCUGUAUACGGGGAGUAAAAAUCGGGUUACAUCUUUACCUAUCAAGUUCAAUGCGAUACUUUUGCACAUAAUACUUCAUUCACCAAAGUUAUGCCUUUGAUUUCUGAUCAACAUUAGAGGUGCAUUAGAAAUGUUGAUCAUGAUCUGUAGGUGCAGUAUGAUUAUGGCAGGACCUCCAGAACUUUCCACCAAACCCUUCUACUCGUCCUGGCUGCGACCCCUUUGUCUUCUCCAAGUCCCCUCUCAAAGAUAGCAGAUUUUGAUUGACUCUUCUCUUUUACAUCCAUUCAUUUUAUUGUCAUACCAACUUUUUACACUCCUGUGGCGUACCCUUGUUUUAAUUGUUCAGUGUGUGUAUGAUAGUGGCAGGAAAAGCAUUAGCUCCCUCCCGUCCUCUCCACCCCCCCACUGCUCCCUCCUUAGAUGGCAACGGGAGGGUGCCACUGUUGGUUACCUUGGUCCAUGAGCGUCAAAUGGUAUGGCCUGACCCCCUUCCAGAGCCCCCUUGGUCCAAAGGACACGGACGAUAAGGAGAUCGACCUGGAGCACCUACACCGCCGGGUUAACAGCCUGUGCACAGAGGACGAAAGCCCCCACAAGCAAUUC